rnacentral:sRNA from 1 species
GUCGGCGAUAAUGUUGAUAGCUGUUGAUAACGCAUGGGCUCGGACUGCUCCAUUACGUAAAAUAGGCUUUCGACUUUUCCGUUUCUAUCACACGGCCAGCAUCUAUAGAAACGCUCAACCAUU